rnacentral:rRNA from 1 species
UACAGAGGUCUCAAGCGUUGUUCGGCUUCAUUGGGCGUAAAGGGUGCGUAGGUGGCGCUGUAAGUCGGGUGUGAAAUUUCGGAGCUUAACUCCGAAACUGCAUUCGAUACUGCGGUGCUUGAGGACUGGAGAGGAGACUGGAAUUCAUGGUGUAGCAGUGAAAUGCGUAGAGAUCAUGAGGAAGACCAGUGGCGAAGGCGGGUCUCUGGACAGUUCCUGACACUGAGACACGAAGGCCAGGGGAGCAAACGGG